rnacentral:rRNA from 1 species
GAAAGCAUCUAAGCACGAAACUUGCCCCGAGAUGAGUUCUCCCUGAGACUUUAAGUCUCCUGAAGGAACGUUGAAGACGACGACGUUGAUAGGCCGGGUGUGUAAGCGCAGCGAUGCGUUGAGCUAACCGGUACUAAUGAACCGUGAGGCUUAACCUUACAACGCCGAAG